rnacentral:rRNA from 1 species
UACAUGGGGUGCAAACGUUGCUCGGAAUUAUUGGGCGUAAAGCGCACGUAGGCGGUUUGUUAAGUCGGAUGUGAAAUCCCUCAGCUUAACUGGGGAACUGCGUCUGAUACUGGUUGGCUUGAGUGCAGGAGAGGAACGCGGAAUUCCAGGUGUAGCGGUGAAAUGCGUAGAUAUCUGGAGGAACACCGGUGGCGAAGGCGGCGUUCUGGACUGCAACUGACACUGAGGAACGAAAGCCAGGGGAGCAAACGGG